rnacentral:rRNA from 1 species
GUAGGGGGCAAGCGUUAUCCGGAAUCACUGGGCGUAAAGGGAGCGUAGGCGGUUUGACAAGCCAGAGGUGAAAGGCAAUAGCUUAACUAUUGUAAGCCUUUGGAACUGUCGAACUUGAGUGUAGGAGAGGAAAGUGGAAUUCCUAGUGUAGCGGUGAAAUGCGUAGAUAUUAGGAGGAACACCAGUGGCGAAGGCGACUUUCUGGACUAUAACUGACGCUGAGGCUCGAAAGCGUGGGGAGCAAACAGGAUUAGAUACCCUGGUAGUCCACGCUGUAAACGAUGAAUACUAGGUGUCUGGGGGUCAAACCUAGGUGCCGCAGCUAACGCAUUAAGUAUUCCGCCUGGGGGAGUACGCACGCAAGUGUG